GGCGGCGUAGCUCAGUUGGUUAGAGCAGCGGAAUCAUAAUCCGAAGGUCGUAAGUUCAAGUCUUACCGCCGCUACCA
rnacentral:tRNA from 1 species